rnacentral:lncRNA from 1 species
CCCCGCCGCGGCUCGGGACGAAGUGGGAGGGCUCGGCUGCGACGUCACAAGGAGCCGGCGCCGCGGGGGCGAAGGGCGGGCCGGCUGCGUCACGGCGGCGCGGGGGCGGCAGGCCGGCGGCGGCGAAGGCCGACGACUUAGAUCCGGCAGCUGGCGGAGGGAGCCGCUCAACGCGACCGGGUGCGGGCGGGGCGCCGCGCGUGCGCAGAAUGGUCCCUGACUCGCCGCCCUUCCGGCCCGUGCGCGGCCUGGCAGGCUUCGGCUUCCUCGAAGUGACGGGGCGGGCGUGCCCCUCCCGCUGGGCCGCGAUGAAAUGGUUUCGCCCCCGCCCUCGGCAGCCCAGCCAGGCGUCGCCCAUGUCCGGUGGCGGAGCUGGGCGCGGCCGUCCCCUGGCCGAGCGCCGUGAGGCCUGGCGUGCGCUCGGUCACUCGAUGCCCUGGCGCCGGCGCCGGCGCCGGCGCUGCCAAGCCCACCGUGAGGGGAAGGCCCCCCGAGCAGCCCCUGCGCCCUCCCCGCGGAGAGCCCCCUCGAGAGGCGGCCCUGAGUCACCGCCAGAGCCCUUCCGGGAAGCGCGAGCUGCCGCCGGUCACUUAAACGCCCUCACCCCGAGCCGCGGGACGCCCGGGGCGCCAGAUCAGGAGAGAAGGGCGAGCCGGGGGCGGGCGCCGCGGCCCUCGCGUGAAAUCGCUCCUGGAGCUUCCCGCCCAGUGUGCCCUCGGCCCAGGGGGAGACCGGUGGGAUGGCAGCGUCUGCAGCCCAGAGCUGCUCAGAACAGAUUAAACCCCGGGAUUCCCCCACACAGUGCCUAGAACAGCGCCCCUCCGGCUGCAGCUCUCAAUCGGAAGCCGCGCCGGCCCUGCCGGGUGCUUCAAGGCAGCUCCAUCGGCGGCCCGCCGCGUGUGAGGACGGGCCCCCUUAUUCUGUCCUGAGGACCAGGUGUACGCUAGUUUCAAGGUGUGGCAGAUGAGCAAUAUCCGGUUACGCGGUGUGUGCGGGUAUCACUGUCGCUGUGAGGAAACACGUCCCUGAGGCAAAACCAGACUGAGUCUCCAUGGGUCUAAUGCCACAACGUAAAUAUUUAAAUCAGCCCAAAUAAAAUUUCCUCUGAGGCGCCUUCUGGAGGGUCUGGAGAAAGCUUGUUGAGGUUGCACAGUGAGCUGCCCGAGCUGUCCGCGCGGCGUGGCAGAUGUCACGCCUGUGCUGGGGAACCAGCCUCCCGACGCCCGUGGGUGCGGUCAGCACGGGACGCUGGGCCCGCCGGCGGGAACCGGAGUCCUCCUCUGGGCUCUGCCGUCCGUCUGAAACCUCGGCCGUGGCUUCGAUCCUCAGCUUCCCUCCCCGCGCAUUUAGUGUGGUCUGUGUCCCGCUCCACAUUCUCCGGGGGAUUUUGCCCUUUGUUUUAGCAUUUGAUGUCCCGUGUGCUGGUCAGUCUUCACCACUUCCACUUCCAUCUCAGCACCGAGGAAUAACACAGAUUAACGAGGACUGACUAGAGAUUUGUUGAAAUGAGUCCAACUCGAAGAAGUUUCCUUGUGGACCAUUUUUCUUGGAAACAUUGUAAGAUUUGUGGUUUUGUGUUUUUUUCUGGUGGGGAAGAUGGUCUCUGAACUAACAUCUGUGCCACUGGUCCUCCAUUUUUGGAUGUGGGGCACCACCACAGCAUGGCUUGAUGAGCCGUGCACAGGUCUGCGCCCAGGAUCCAAACCUGCAAACCCCAGGCUGCCGAAGCAGAGCAUAUGAACUUGACCACUGUGCCACCGGGCAGCCCUGAGACCUGUUAUUAAGAAUGCUAUUUGUUGCCAAAGAAUCAUCCCACAGAUUAUUAAUUACAAACGUUUUUUUCUUUUUGAGGGAGGUUAGCUCUGAGCUAACAUCUGCUGCCAAUCCUCCUGUUUUUGCUGAGGAAGACUGGCCCUGAGCUAACAUCUGCAUCUGUGCCUGGCUGCCCCUACUUUAUACGUGGGAUGCCUGCCACAGCAUGGCCUGACGAGUGGUGCAUAGGUCUGCACUAGGGAUCUGAACUGGCAGACCCCCAGCAGCCAAAGUGGGAUGUGUGAACAUAACCACUGUGCUACUGGGCCAGCCCCUAUUAAUCACAAAGUUGUAAAGGUACCUUUUGUUGUUAGUGCCAUCAAGUCGAUUCAGACUCCUAGCGAUCUUGUGUACAGCAGAGUGGAGCCCUGCCAGCCUCUUUUGCACCAUCGUCUCACCAUCCAGCACUACAUCAGACAAUGCUCCACUGCUGUUCACAGGGGUUUGAGGGCCAAUAUUUUUCGGGAGUCGGUGGCCAGGUCCUUCUACUUAGUUUUAGUUUGGAAGCUCCACUGAAACGUGUCCGCCAUGGGUGACCCUGCUGGCAUGUGAAAUACCUGUGGCAGAGCUUUCAGCAUCACAGCAACACGCAGCCACCACAGUAUGACAACCGACAGACAGGGUGUGGUGCCCUGACCAGGAAAGGAACCCAGGCCGCAGUGGUGAGAGCACUGAAUCUUAACUACUAGACCACCUGGGCUGGCUAAUGGUACCUUUACAGUGGAUAAAUCUGGUGGAUACCAUCUUAACCAAAUGGUUAAAAGUAACCAAAAGUUGGACAAUAAUUGGACAUCAUGUGCCCCUUGCUGUAAAGCUUGGAGAAUACCACACCAUCUAUGGAGUAUUCCUGGAAAAAUGUUUAGCCUGAAUCUAAUCAUAAUGACACAGUCAAAUCCAAAUUGAGGGACUGCUCCAAAACAGAGGUCUGUAAUCAUGAAAAAUAUCAUAAGACAAAAACGCUAGAGAAUUGUUGUAGAUUAGAGAGACAUGACAACUCUAUGCAGGGAACUUGAUGUGGGGCGCUUUUAUGUUUGUUUUCUAAUGUUCAAAAUGGCUAAGGUGUCCUUUGGAAUCCCAGAGUUGCUUCCUGCUCCUGUUGAUAAAACUAAUUAAAUGUGUAGGGAGCUUUAGCAAAGCUGAUUCUUACUAUUCCUAAAAGUUUAAUCAGUGAAAGUCUG